AUGCGUACGGUUAACACUCCAACUUCGAAGAAUCAGGCCAAGAAGAUUAGGCUGCACGACCGCUACUGCGACGGGAUGAUGCCGCUGUGCAACCCGAGCUCCGAGGCGAGGCAGCUUUCCGCGUCCUCCACCGGGCUCCCGACGUCGCACCAGGAACUGUUCAUGAGCGCCGGGUUUCAACAGCAGCAGCAGCCGCAGCACCGCGACGCCGCCGCCGGGUGGGCGCGCCAGGAGUACUACGCGCCGCCGCAGAGGUCGGCGGCGUUCGCGCAGAGAUGCGUCGGCUCCAGCACGGCGGCGUUCUACGCGGCCGAGCACCUGCUCGGCAUCGGGCAGUUCGACGGCGCUCCCCUCGGGAUGCUCCCGCCGGCGGCAACGAUGAUGCCAGCGGUGCCGGCCAGGACGCGGCCGGAGAGCGGCGACAUGUACAUGUCGCACGAGCUCGAGCCGGUGAUGCUCCGCGCGGACCGGUCGCCGUCAGUGAGGACGUACUACGUGCAGCCGCAGCAGCGGCGGGACCCGGUGGAGCUCGAGCUGCCACUGCCACUGCCGCCAGCGCAGGAGCAAGAGAGCGCGCACCAUAACCUGUUCGGCAACCCUCCGACCAUCCAACCGCACUCGUUCUCACCCCAUGUCCCGUCGAUGGAGGCGCCGAGCAGCAGCAGCAGCCUGCUGAGCCAGAUGGAGAGCCACCUGUCCGCCAGGAGCAGCGCCGGCGCGCCAGCGACCUCCACCGGCACCGGCAGCGUGUCAGCGCCUCCGCCGAGCAAGACGCGGAUCCGGUGGACGCCGGAGCUGCACGAGCGGUUCGUGGACUGCGUGAGCAAGCUCGGCGGCGCGGACAGGGCGACUCCGAAGGGGAUCCUGAAGCUGAUGAACUCGGACGGCCUCACCAUCUACCACAUCAAGAGCCACCUCCAGAAAUACCGGAUGGCCAAGUACAUGCCGGCACCAUCUUCAUCGUCGUCGUCGGAAGGGAGGCAGCACGAGAAGAGGGCCGCCGGAAGCGACACCCAGCAUGAACUGGACCCCAAAACUGGGAUGCACAUCACGGAAGCACUCCGCGUCCAGCUCGACGUGCAGCGCCGCCUCCACGAGCAGCUCGAGAUACAGCGGAAGCUGCAGGUGAGGAUCGAGGAGCAGGGCAAGAGGCUGCAGAAGAUGUUCGAGGACCAGCUCAAGGCCAGCGGCAACACCGCGCCGGCCGCGGGCCCGGACGUCGUCCUCUUCCCGGCCGCGGCGGAGACGCCGAGCGAUCAAGAGGAGGACGCCGUGUUCGUCGAUGUCAUCGACGAUGACGACGAGGUGCAGAUAAUCUCCGUCGCCAGCGGCAGCUAUGACGACGACUUAGCCUUGUAA
rnacentral:rRNA from 1 species